AGAGUUUGAUCCUGGCUCAGGAUGAACGCUAGCGGCAGGCUUAACACAUGCAAGUCGAGGGGCAGCAUGUCCAGCAAUGGAUGAUGGCGACCGGCGGAAGGGUGCGUAACGCGUGAGCAGCAUGCCCUAUACAGGGAGAUACACCAGGGAAACUUGGUCUAAUAUCCCAUAGCAUUCGUUGAAGGCAUCUUUAAUGAAUUAAAGCUUCGGUGGUAUAGGAUUGGCUCGCGUAACAUUAGCCAGAUGGUGAGGUAACGGCUCACCAUAGCAAUGAUGUCUAGGGGUUUUGAGAGGAAGGCCCCCCACACUGGGACUGAGACACGGCCCAGACUCCUACGGGAGGCAGCAGUGAGGAAUAUUGGACAAUGGAUGGAAAUCUGAUCCAGCCAUGCCGCGUGCAGGAAGACGGCCUUAUGGGUUGUAAACUGCUUUUAUACGGGAGCAAUAAGGGUUACGAGUAAUCCGAUGAGAGUACUGUAUGAAUAAGGAUCGGCUAACUCCGUGCCAGCAGCCGCGGUAAUACGGAGGAUCCGAGCGUUAUCCGGAAUUAUUGGGUUUAAAGGGUGCGUAGGCGGCCAUUUAAGUCAGCGGUGAAAUUUUGCAGCUUAACUGUAACAGUACCGUUGAUACUGUUUGGCUAGGAUUUGGUUGUAGUGUGCGGAAUGUGUGGUGUAGCGGUGAAAUGCUUAGAUAUCACACAGAACACCGAUUGCGAAGGCAGCACACUAAGUCAUUAUUGACGCUGAGGCACGAAAGUGUGGGGAUCAAACAGGAUUAGAUACCCUGGUAGUCCACACUGUAAACGAUGAUAACUCGCUGUCGGCGAUACACAGUCGGUGGCCAAGCGAAAGCAUUAGUUAUCCACCUGGGGAGUACGACCGCAGGUUGAACUCAAAAGGAAUUGACGGGGGCCCGCACAAGCGGAAGACAUGUGGGUUAAUUCCAUGAAACCCCAGAACCUUACCGGGCUCCAACGGUGCAUGAAUAAACAAAAAAUUUUAUAUCCCUUCGGGACUUGUUUC
rnacentral:rRNA from 1 species